rnacentral:tRNA from 1 species
GAAGGUAUAGCUCAGUGGUAGAGUGCAUGCUUAGCAUGCAUGAGGUCCUGGGUUCAAUCCUCAGUACUUCCA